rnacentral:lncRNA from 1 species
AUUUGAAUUCGAAUUUCACUAUUAAUUUUGAAAUUCGAACUGAAAAUUUUUCUCUUUACAAUAUUUGAAAACAUAUUAGAUUAAAUUUAAUUUUUUCAAAUAUAAAUUCAAAUAUAACAUCAAACACUUAUGUAUAUAUUAUAUAAUGUAAAAUCAGUUCGGGUUCGGAUCGGGUUCGGAUUCCGAUCAGGAACAAUCAAAAUUCAUAUUCGAAUCCAAAUCUGUCAUAUUUUUGUUUUUGAUAUUCAUAUUCGAAACUAUAUCUAUUUAGCAUCGGAUAUAUCCACUCAUUUGGAAUUCGGAUUUAGAUAAAAUUUCGA